rnacentral:lncRNA from 1 species
AAACACUACCUCGGACCGUUCGAGUCGUUUGGCAAGAUCCAGCCGCACGAUCCGCCGUUUACGGAGGACCUGCCUCGACUGGAUACCCCGAAUUUCUAUUACACGCAGGAGGACCUUUUGUUUGCUGAGGUGGAGAAGAAAGAGGAUCUGACUUGGUCGGUGCACCGGCCCGAUAUGAUUUUCGGGUUUUCCCCUUACAGCAUGAUGAAUAUUGUCGGCACGCUCUGCGUCUACGCCGCGAUAUGCAAGCACGAGGGGCUGCCGCUGAGGUUUCCGGGAAGCAAAGCGGCGUGGAAUUCGUACUCGGUGGCUUCGGAUGCUGAUCUGAUAGCGGAGCAUCACAUAUGGGCGGCGGUGGACCCGUAUGCGAAAAACGAAGCGUUUAACAUCAACAACGGGGAUGUGUUUAAGUGGAAGCAUUUCUGGAAGGUGCUGGCGGAGCAGUUUGGGAUAGAGGAGUACGGGAUUGAUGAGGGAGGCGGGAGGCUGAGGUUGGCGGAGCGGAUGA